rnacentral:rRNA from 1 species
ACUAACUGGAGGACCGAACCGACUAAUGUUGAAAAAUUAGCGGAUGACCUGUGGCUGGGGGUGAAAGGCCAAUCAAACCGGGAGAUAGCUGGUUCUCCCCGAAAGCUAUUUAGGUAGCGCCUCGUGAACUCAUCUCCGGGGGUAGAGCACUGUUUCGGCUAGGGGGCCAUCCCGGCUUACCAACCCGAUGCAAACUGCGAAUACCGGAGAAUGUUAUCACGGGAGACACACGGCGGGUGCUAACGUCCGUCGUGAAGAGGGAAACAACCCAGACCGCCAGCUAAGGUCCCAAAGUCAUGGUUAAGUGGGAAACGAUGUG